AUUGAACGCUGGCGGCAUGCUUUACACAUGCAAGUCGAACGGCAGCACGGACUUCGGUCUGGUGGCGAGUGGCGAACGGGUGAGUAAUACAUCGGAACGUACCCAGUAAUGGGGGAUAACUAUCCGAAAGGAUAGCUAAUACCGCAUACGCCCUACGGGGGAAAGAGGGGGAUCGCAAGACCUCUUGUUAUUGGAGCGGCCGAUGGCUGAUUAGCUAGUUGGUAGGGUAGAGGCCUACCAAGGCAACGAUCAGUAGCGGGUCUUAGAGGACGAUCCGCCACACUGGAACUGAGACACGGUCCAGACUCCUACGGGAGGCAGCAGUGGGGAAUCUUGGACAAUGGGCGCAAGCCUGAUCCAGCAAUGCCGCGUGCGUGAAGAAGGCCUUCGGGUUGUAAAGCGCUUUUGUCAGGGAGCAAAUCCUUGUGGCUAAUACCCACCGGGGAUGAGAGUACCUGAAGAAUAAGGACCGGCUAACUACGUGCCAGCAGCCGCAGUAACAC
rnacentral:rRNA from 1 species